rnacentral:rRNA from 1 species
UGGGGAAUAUUGGACAAUGGGCGCAAGCCUGAUCCAGCCAUGCCGCGUGAGUGAUGAAGGCCCUAGGGUUGUAAAGCUCUUUCACCGAUGAAGAUAAUGACGGUAGUCGGAGAAGAAGCCCCGGCUAACUUCGUGCCAGCAGCCGCGGUAAUACGAAGGGGGCUAGCGUUGUUCGGAAUUACUGGGCGUAAAGCGCACGUAGGCGGAUAUUUAAGUCAGGGGUGAAAUCCCAGAGCUCAACUCUGGAACUGCCUUUGAUACUGGGUAUCUUGAGUAUGGAAGAGGUAAGUGGAAUUCCGAGUGUAGAGGUGAAAUUCGUAGAUAUUCGGAGGAACACCAGUGGCGAAGGCGGCUUACUGGUCCAUUACUGACGCUGAGGUGCGAAAGCGUGGGGAGCAAACA